UACCAAUAAAGCCAUCUGGGACUAGACAUUUUUUGUAGGUAGUUUUUUGAGCUCUAAUUCAAUCUUUUUACCUGUUAUUAAUCUCUCAGAUUUCUGUCUCACCCUGAGUCAGUUUUGGUAGUUUGUGUCUUCCUAGGAAUUUAUUUGUCAAAUCUAAGUGUUCUAAUUUUUUGACAUACCUUUUGUUCAUAGGGACUAGACAUUGGUUCACAUGUCAUAGACUAUUAACAUUCUUACUGAGUAUUAGUGGAUUUUCUUGAAUAUAUGUUUCUUCAUUUUUCUCUUAAGAAAAUUGCAGAGGAUUAAAUUUCUUAGAAAAUAAUUUUCACCAGUUACACUUGUUUUGCUGGGGAGUAGGUUUGUAGGCCUCUGUAGGCCACCAUUCUAGAAGUGAAAUUUAUCCCUAGUGCUUGCCACUGAGCUUGCCAAAAAGCAGGUAUCUGACAAAUAUUUACUGAAUGGAUUUUCAGUAGAUGUUUUUCCUUGGUGUAUUUUCAAGAAAGAGAUAACAAAGAUUUCAUCUGUGGGAUCACUUUGCCAUUUUCUCCUCCUUGUAGGGUACUCUGGGCUAAGAGCACAGGGGAAAUGCAACUGCUCUCUACUAUAUUACCCACUAGGGUUGGACCAGUUUCCUUAUCUAGUUUUUUACUAUGAUGAACCUGGCAAACCAUAUGCGUGUUGUGACCCUUCCUGUUACAAAGCAGACUGGGAGAUAUCUUUGUUCUCUUCCUUCUAGGUUCAUAUCCAAAGUUUGGACUUUCCUUCCAGUCUUUGGUUUUAACACUCUUGUGGAAAGAAGCACAAUGGCCAAAUGAAUCCAAGGAAACAGCUUUCCUCCCCAUAGACUGCAGUAGAUAGGUCACAUUACUGAGUCCUUCCCAGUGAACUUCCUAGUUGGGAUUUAAGGUAUCAGUCACAUUCUUUUCUUUAUGGGCUUAGAACUAGUGAAAACAAUAGACACAGAGCCUGAAAUAUCAACUGGAUUUAUAACUACAAUUGGCCCAGAUGCCCUGGCUGCACAGUCAACCAAUUAAAUCAGAAUCUCUGGGUGGGGCUCAGUUGUUCUAGGUGUUUAAGCUCUGCUGCUGAUUCCCAUAUUAAGCCAAUGCUAAAAAAGUGGGAGGUUCCAAGAACCAAGGGCAUCAGUACCACCUGAGACCUUGUUAAUGUGUAGAAUCACCACUUGCAGCUUCUCGGUAUUCCCAGGUCAUUCAUUUUCAUGUUAACAUUUCGGAAGCACCCCAGAACACUACUUCUUAAACUUUAGCUCUUAAAAGAUCCCCUAGAGAGCUUUCGAAAACAGCAGUUCCUGGGCCCCAACUCCAGGGUUUCAGGUUCAGUCUGCCUGGAAUGAAGCCGGGCAAUUUGCAUUUCUAACAGAUUCACGGGUGUUGCCACUGCUGCUGGUACAUCGACCACACGUUGUAAAUUGGUUUCGUAGGCCCAAGUGUUCUUACUACUGAAGAACGUGAGGGGGAGGAGUGUUUGCACCUUCUAUAGUUCAAAGGUGAAGAGGCAGUCCAGGCCGUGGGUGUCUAGGGAUUCUUUUCCUCAGGACGCAGCUUGAUAAGAUCCUCUUAUUUUGAGGAGAAGAGGGAAGGGAGUGGAAAGAAGGUUUGAGGUGCUAUCUGGGAUACUUACGAAAGAGAAAAUGCAUAUUUUCCUGUGACAAGAUAGGAACCUCCAGAAGAGACCAAGUGGUUCUCUUCUCUCUGCUCUAGUCUUCCAGAGAUGAGAUCUCUCCAGAGACAGAGGAGGCCCAGUCCUAUUUUUUAUACCACACAUAUGGGAUAAAAUUUAAGGUGGAGAAAAAGACUCAAAGUGCCCAGAGAGAGGCAAGUCAGAAGAAAUGGAUUCAAGAGUGGUUCUUCAAGUGCCCAUGCUUUCUCUGGCAUCUGGUCUUCACGGCUGCUGAACCCGCAUCUCAUCCAGGCUUUGCAUGAAACAGUUACUUCAAAACAGAUGCGACAGUCUUCUAGGCAGUCAGGAUUCAGCUCAACUUCUAAUCAGAAUCAAGCUGCAGUAUCCUGCUGAAACGGGUGAAGGUCAUGGUGCUCCCAUAUUCUCAGAAAAUAGACCACCACUACACAACAUGUUCUUCUGUUGCUGGACCACAAUCCACAUCCCGGAUGAACCCUCGACACAGCCCCUUGGGAAAUCUGUUGCCUCCUGCUCUACCUGGCCAAGAAUUGCCCCCUCUCCACACUGCUGCCACCAUGGGUGCAGAUGCAACCCUCUCACAUCCUUAAAACCCCUUAAAAGGCCCAACCUAAUAGAAACUCGGGGCUGACAUUUCUCUUGAUGUCUGGCCCCUAUCCUCCCUUGGAGAAUGAGUAAAUUCUGUCUUGCUUGUUCCUUCAUUCUGUGCCAAUCUUUGUCACCUGUGUCACCAGUCACCCUAACCCUUAUUUUCACCAAAAUGUAACCAUGAGGCCAUAAAGGGUGUAACCUAGGUUAUGUAUCUUAGGGGUUUAUUGUAUAGCAGAGUGCCUUUGGAAAAAUCAGAAGACCCUCAUAGCCAUAGUGCUACUGACUUGACAUACUAUCGUAGCCUGAUGCUUGAUUGAAGGUUGAUGCUUUUGGUACUUCUUUACCUGAUAUCAGAGGUAGGGAAAGUUUGAGAUAUGUCAGUCUAUAAAUUCUGAUUCUCUUAAUUAGAAAAUAGAUACUCUUGUCUGGGGGACCUUUCUGUCCUUUAUGCUUCACUAGAAAAUGUCUCAAACAUAGUUUAAUACACUCAUGUUUUGUCUGCACUAAUUGUUUUUCACAAAACAGUUUGAAGUAUGAAUAUACAAUCUUUGGUUAGCAGUGACCACUUAGUGUUCACAUGUAAAAUAUUUCACAAUUUCAAAUAACAUUUUUUUUUUUUAAAGUACUGUAGGGUAUUAAUUGAGAAUGCAUUUAUUUUGAUAAUUUUAUCAUAAGGUGAACUGGAUUAUAUUAUAGCCUCCCAGAAAGAUAUGUGCAAGUCCGAAUUCCUAGAACCUGUGAAUAUUACCUGUUUAGAAAAAAGAUUUUGCAGAUGUAAUUAAAGGAUUUUAAGAUAACCAGAUAAUCCUGGAUUAUCCAGGUGGAUUCUAAAUCCAGUGACAGGCAUCCUUAUAAGAAGACAUAGACCCUCAGAGGAGGUGACAUGAAGGGCCCACUUACAAGCUCACAUGUUGGCAAAAUUAAUUUUCUUGCUCCUGUAGUACUGAAGUAGUUGUUUUCUUGCUAGCUGUGGUUUGGGAACAGUUCUUGACUCCUAAAAAACCUUGCUUAAUGGCCCCCUUUAUGUUUAAAGUCAAUGGUAUGAAUCCUUCUCAUGCUUUGAAUAUCUCUGAAUUCCUUUUCUGCAACUAGCUGAAGAAAAAGAUUUUCUUUUAAAGGAUUUAUGUGAUAAUCACCCAAACAAUCUCCUUAUGUUAAUAUCAACUGAUUUGGGAUUUUAAUUAUAUCUGCAAAAUCCCUUCAUAGUACUACUUUAGAUAAGUGUUAGAUUGCUUAACUGGAAAAGCCAUGCAUACCCCACGGCCUAAGAAUCUUAUGGGGACUCUGUCAAAAUUCUGCCCACUAUAGUGCCUUGCUUAAAAUAAUAUUAAAAAAAUAGACAAAAUGUAUAAAACAAUGGUUUUCAUGUCAUGGGAUGUCAGGCAAUGAUAGAUAGUAGUUGCUAAGAGAUGGGGGAAAAAAGGAGGAGGUAAAUUCUACCAGUGCCUACAGGGAGAGGGUUUCCAAGCUACCACACAGGGAGAAGAAACCCAGUAAGAGCCCAGCAGUUUCUCUAAACUAAGGAGAUGGAACUAAACCCCUGUUAGGCCAAGAGCAGAGUUCUGGAGAAGAGAGAGAGAAAUAAUGAGAACUCUAGAAAUCUCAAAGGGUUUCCUUCAUGUCUUCAGUUGAACACUGAUCUGCAUAUGCAUGUGGGGAGUUAGCAUGGUUGGAGAGAAAACCACUCAGAGGACUGAGCAGAUUGAAGGAAUGGUCUCUAGGACAAGACUGGAAAUUAUUCUUCUUCCUUCCAGAUACAGUGAGAAAUGUCAUAAUUGAUGGACUACUCAGAAUAUUCUGAAGUGCAUUGUCUCAAUAGUAGGUUAAUAUUAGCUCUAGACUAAAUUCUGUUCUCAUCUCAAUGUAAUAAAGCUUAAAAGUGUGUAAGGAUCAAACUGUUCCAAGCAAAUAACUGCAGUCCGGGGUAAAAAAAAAAAAAUAAAGAAUAUUUGCGUCUAAAAAUAUAUAGUACCCAACAAGGUAAAAUUUCAUAAUCCAAUAAAAAUUUGCAAGGAUGGAAGGAAAUAGGAGAAAAGGACUUAUGACAAAGUCAAUCAAUACAAACAUGGCCUAGAAAUGGUACAGAUGAUACAAUUAGUAGAUGACAUGAUGAAAACAGUUAUUUAGCUGUGUGCCCUAUGUUCAAGAAUGUAGAUAAAGGUUAUGGAGAGACAUGGAAUAUUAAAAAGACCAAAAUUGAAUUUCCAGGGAUAAAACUGACAAUGUCUAAGAUGAAAAAUACACUGAAUGGGAUUAAUAAUAGGGUAUACUGCAGAAGAAAAGAUGAGUGAAUUUGUAGAUAUAGCAAUAGAAACUAUCCAAAAAAUGAAAAAAAAAAACAGAAUAAGAAAAAAAAAUGAACAGCACAUCAAUGAGUAUGGGACACAAUUUCAUUUCUAUAUAUUAACAACACAUAAGCAGGAAUUGAAAUGUUUAAAAAUGCCAUUUUACCAUAGCAUAAUGAACAAAAAAUGCUUAGGGAGAAUUUUUUUAAACAUGCAUAAUAGCUGUACAAUGAAUAGUUCAAAAUAUUGCUGAGAGAAAUCAAAGGUCUAAAUAACAGAGAUCUGAACUCAAAUACCUCAUAUUGCUAAGGUGUCAAUUAUCCCCAUAAAUUGGUGUGUAUGUAUAUUUUCAACAUAAUCCCAAUUCAAAUCCUAUGAAAGCUUUUUAGAUUGACAAAUUGUUUCUUGAAAUAUCUAAGGUAGCAAACUUUGACAAAAAGAAAUUUGAAGGGUUUACACUACCUGAUUUCAAGACUUAUUUAAAGCUACAGUAAUCAAGAUAGUGUGCUAUUUGUCUAAGGGUAGACAAAUAGAUCAAUCAAACAGAAGAGAGAGCAGAGAAUUAGAACUAUACCUUGAAUUUUGACAAAGAAGCCAAGGUAAUUAGUGGAUAAAGGAUAGUCCUUUUAGUAACUUGUGUCAAAACAAUUGCAUAUCUAUAUGCAGAAACAUGAACUUCAGUAUUUCUUACCAUAUAUGCUAUUAACUCAAAUCAUUUAUGCACCUAAAUGUAAACCCUAAAACUACAGACCUUUUGGAAUAAAACCUACGAGAAACCUUUAUAAUCUUGAUUUAAGCUAGUAUUUCUUAGAUAUAACACUAAAGUAUCCAUGAAAGAGCAAAGGAUAAAUUAAGCUUCAUUAUUACUUAAAAUUUUCUCUCUUUGAAAGACAUUUAUAAAAGAAUGAAAAGACAGGCCACAGACUACUUAUCAAAUUUUGAUAGAGAACUUUUACUCAAACAUACAAAAUAACUAUUAACAUGCUCAUAAUGAAUUCAAUAAAAAAUGGGCAAAAUAUUUGAGCUAAUAUUUUAUCAGAGAUGAUAUAUGAAAUAUGUAGUAGGCGGAAUAAUGGCUUCCCAAAGAUAUUUAUGUCAUAAUCCCCAGAACAUAUGAAUAGGCUACCUUUUGGCAGAGGGGAAUUAAGGUGGCAGAUGUAAUUAAGGUUGCUAGGCAUUUGAAGUUAAAAUAGGGAGAUUAGCUGAUAUAAUUGGAGUCCUUUAAGGACUGUGUAUCAGAGGCUGAAGAGUCUGGGUCAGAAAUAUACAACGUAAGAAAGAUUCAUUACUGGCCAUUACCAGCUUUGAAGAUGCAGGAAGGGGCCAUGAGCUAUGGCAUAUGUGGGCAGUCUCUAAAUGUUGAAAAAGUCAAGAAAAGAGAUUUACUCUUUAGAGCCUCCAGAAAGGAAUACAGCUUGGCCAGUGCCUUGAUUUUAGGCCUGUCAGACCCAUUUCAGCCUUCAGACCUCCUAUAAUAAAUUUGUGUUGUUUAAAGCCACUAAAUAAUUUGUGCUAGUUUCCUAUUGCUUCUGGAACAAAUUAAUACAGACAGUAAAUAAGUACAUGGGUAGUUGUUCAACAUCAUUAGCAUUAGGCAAAAGCAAACUAAAACCGCAAUGAAAUACCAUUGUACUAAAUAUUAGAAUGGCUAAAAUUAAAAAUACUGGUCAUACUGGGUUUUGGUGAGGAUGUGGAGGAACUGAGACUCUCAGACACUGCUGUUGGAGAUGCAUGAUGGAACAGCCACUAGGAAAACACUUUGGCAGUUUUUUUAACAGUUUAAUGAUCUGUCUAUCAUAUGCUGUAUCUAUUCAACUCCUGGGUAUUUAGGUGAAAU